AGAAAGCAUACGCAUAUGCAGAUGAGGAUGAAGGCCGACCAGCCAAUGACUGCUUGCUUAUCUACGACCAUGAGGGAGUUGGGUCACCUGUGGGCUCCAUUGGUUGCUGCAGUUGGAUCGUGGAUGACCUGGAUGAAAGCUACAUGGAAACUUUAGAUCCAAAAUUUAGGACUCUUGCUGAAAUCUGCUUAGACACCGAAAUUGAGCCAUUUCCUUCACACCAGGCCUGUAUCCCUAUCAGUACUGACCUCCCUUUGCUGGGACCUAAUUACUUUGUUAAUGAAUCUUCA
rnacentral:lncRNA from 1 species